UCUCCACGAGAACAAAAGCAUCAACCACCAACUCCACCCCACCCCCAAGCAGGCUGUUGCGCUCUCUAACCACAUAGCCCAUGCUGGAGACAAUGUAAUCCCACGGGGAAGACAGAAGGUCACAGGCACGCUGUGAAAUCACAAAAUAAGGUCCACUUUUUAGAAAGGCUCGACGGUGCUUUCACCGCUCACAAUGUCAUUUGGAACAAACAGGUGGAGCGCAGACAUGGCCUGCUCUUCUCCUGCUGUCCCUUCCCUCGGCAUAUAGGAGGUUACACGUGUCCAGCGCGGUCCAAAAUUACGGGCACGGCCUUUACAAUAAGCAGGAGAACUCAAGAUGUGGCAAGGGUUGCAAUACUCAGUGUAACACUGCAGGAGGAGGUGAUGGCAAGGGCUGCAGAAAAAUAAACAUAUAGAGGCUGGCUUUGUCUAUAUCAAUGAGUAAUUCAUCAUAACAGAUCACCAUACUGAUGUAGUUAAUGCUGAGAAUCAGCAUGUUUGUUACAAGCACUUUGCGGAUUUGAACUUCAGGCUACCUUUGACUCAAUCCCUCGGACUGGCUGUUCUCACCAUACAAGCAGUUUAAAGCUGUCCAAAGGCCCACUGGCUGGUUUGGACUCUUACAUCCCCACUGGAGUUUGGAGUACGUUUCCCACGCACUGGGCAGAGCUGCGGGGUUGGCUUCCUCUGCAGGGAACCUGAGCUGCUCUGUGAACUGAACCAAUGAGCAAUAAAUGGGUGUGAUGAGGGAUUUCUUUCAAAACUGCACUACUGCUCUGAACCAAAAUGCCGUUGUAUAUAUAACUAUAUAUAUGUUUGUGGUUUGGGGAAGAUACUGCGUAUUUUUCUGCUGUAUAUAAACCCAAUAAUUUUGCAUGAUAAUGCUGGUAUACCUUCUUGUAUACAUUUCUAGCCAGCAACCUCUAGUAAGUUCUCUAUGUUUAAUGGUGCAAGACAAAAGCCAACUACACUGAAUCACUGUGCAAGCAGAUAAAUUCUUACAUACAUACUUUACAUGCAACUCAGAAGAGCAGAUUUUAUUUUAUCAAGUGAUAAUAAUUGUGGUCCCCACAUAAGCAAUAUGAAAAACUGUUUUCCAAGCUGUGAUGAAAUAACUGCAAUGUAAAUUGAGGAAGUGUUACUCCAAACCUCCAAAAAAGAGAAAGUGAUGUGUUUGCCAAACCUGGAAAAGAGACUUACUGUCUGUGAUCAAAGGCAGCACUGCUCUACACAGAACUUAUGAGAACACAGAAAGGGUGAAGGAAAAAAAGGUCUGGAAUCAUGCAAGUUUCA